rnacentral:rRNA from 1 species
AUUCCAGCUCCAAUAGCGUAUAUUAAAGUUGUUGCGGUUAAAAAGCUCGUAGUUGGAUUUCUGCCGAGGAUGACCGGUCCGCCCUGUGGGUGUGCAUCUGGCUCAGCCUUGGCAUCUUCCUGAAGAACGUAGCUGCACUUGACUGUGUGGUGCGGUAUUUAGGACAUUUACUUUGAGGAAAUUAGAGUGUUUCAAGCAAGCGCACGCUUUGAAUACAUUAGCAUGGAAUAAUAAGAUAGGACCUCGGUUCUAUUUUGUUGGUUUCUAGAGCUGAGGUAAUGAUUGAUAGGGAUAGUUGGGGGUGCUAGUAUUCAGCGGCCAGAGGUGAAAUUCUUGGAUUCGCUGAAGACUAACUUAUGCGAAAGCAUUUACCAAGGAUGUUUUCAUCA